rnacentral:tRNA from 1 species
AGGAGUAUAGCCAAGUGGUCGACGGCAACGGACUCCAAAUCCGUCAAGCGUGCGCUUCUCGUGGGUUCGAAUCCUACUGCUCCUG